rnacentral:rRNA from 1 species
CCUACGGGUGGCAGCAGUGGGGAAUAUUGGACAAUGGGCGAAAGCCUGAUCCAGCCAUGCCGCGUGUGUGAAGAAGGCCUUCGGGUUGUAAAGCACUUUCAGUGGGGAAGAAAGCCUUGGGGCUAAUACCCUCGAGGAAGGACAUCACCCACAGAAGAAGCACCGGCUAACUCCGUGCCAGCAGCCGCGGUAAUACGGAGGGUGCGAGCGUUAAUCGGAAUUACUGGGCGUAAAGCGCGCGUAGGCGGUCUGAUAAGCCGGUUGUGAAAGCCCCGGGGCUCAACCUGGGAACGGCAUCCGGAACUGUCAGGCUAGAGUGCAGGAGAGGAAGGUAGAAUUCCCGGUGUAGCGGUGAAAUGCGUAGAGAUCGGGAGGAAUACCAGUGGCGAAGGCGGCCUUCUGGGCUGACACUGACGCUGAGGUGCGAAAGCGUGGGUAGCAAACAGGAUUAGAUACCCCUGUAGUC